GUGGGGAAUCUUCCGCAAUGGACGAAAGUCUGACGGAGCAACGCCGCGUGAGUGAUGAAGGAUUUCGGUCUGUAAAGCUCUGUUGUUUAUGACGAACGUGCAGUGUGUGAACAAUGCAUUGCAAUGACGGUAGUAAACGAGGAAGCCACGGCUAACUACGUGCCAGCAGCCGCGGUAAUACGUAGGUGGCGAGCGUUGUCCGGAAUUAUUGGGCGUAAAGAGCAUGUAGGCGGCUUAAUAAGUCGAGCGUGAAAAUGCGGGGCUCAACCCCGUAUGGCGCUGGAAACUGUUAGGCUUGAGUGCAGGAGAGGAAAGGGGAAUUCCCAGUGUAGCGGUGAAAUGCGUAGAUAUUGGGAGGAACACCAGUGGCGAAGGCGCCUUUCUGGACUGUGUCUGACGCUGAGAUGCGAAAGCCAGGGUAGCGAACGGGAUUAGAAACCCCAGUAGUCCC
rnacentral:rRNA from 1 species